ACCUACGGGGGGCAGCAAUAGGGAAUUUUCGUCAAUGGGCGCAAGCCUGAACGAGCAAUGCCGCGUGAACGAGGAAGGUCUUCGGAUCGUAAAGUUCUGUUGAAGGGGAAAAAGAGCGGAGAGAGGAAAUGGUCUCCGAUUGAUAUUACCCUUCGAGGAAGUCACGGCUAACUACGUGCCAGCAGCCGCGGUAAUACGUAGGUGGCGAGCGUUAUCCGGAAUGAUUGGGCGUAAAGGGUGCGUAGGCGGCCUGCUAAGUCUGGAGUGAAAGGUACCGGCUCAACCGGUACAGGCUCUGGAAACUG
rnacentral:rRNA from 1 species